rnacentral:rRNA from 1 species
UGGCCUUGACAUACUAAGAACUUUCCAGAGAUGGAUCGGUGCCUUCGGGAACUUAGAUACAGGUGCUGCAUGGCUGUCGUCAGCUCGUGUCGUGAGAUGUUGGGUUAAGUCCGCAACGAACGCAACCCUUUUCCUUAUUUGCCAGCGGGUCAUGCCGGGAACUUUAAGGAUACUGCCAGUGACAAACUGGAGGAAGGCGGGGACGACGUCAAGUCAUCAUGGCCCUUACGGCCAGGGCUACACACGUGCUACAAUGGUCGGUACAAAGGGUUGCUACCUCGCGAGAGGAUGCUAAUCUCAAAAAGCCGAUCGUAGUCCGGAUCGCAGUCUGCAACUCGACUGCGUGAAGUCGGAAUCGCUAGUAAUCGCGGAUCAGAAUGCCGCGGUGAAUACGUUCCCGGGCCUUGUACACACCGCCCGUCACACCAUGGGAGUUUGUUGCACCAGAAGUAGGUAGUCUAACCGCAAGGAGGACGCUUACCACGGUGUGGCCGAUGACUGGGGUGAAGUCGUAACAAGGUAGGCGUAGAUGA